GAUCGCCAAAAACUUCAACGCCAUGCACCCUGAUCUGGAGCCGCGAUCAGUUCAACAAUUGAAAAGAAGUUUCAACCGCAUCAAAUUGAAUGUGAAAAAGGAAGAGAGAGCCUACAAGCUGAAGGUGAAGAGGACUGGUGGUGCCCCUCCUCCAUCACCUCCCAAGUUUACAGAAGAACAUGAGACUGUUGCCUCCAUGAUCUCUGGAGAACUCAACAUGGGCGAGGAUGUCUUUGACACUCUUGCCAUUCAAGAUGGGCAUCCAGUGGAUGAGGCAGGCACUCCCAUCAUGGAUGUUACUUUCACUGUGAGUGGAAAACUGCCACCGACAGAGGUCCCCUCUGCUACUUCUGCCGCUGAAUGUGCUGAAGCACCUGCACCUCCUAGUGCUUCUACAUCUUUCCAGCCAGAAGCUUCAUCCUCUGCAUCCACUGCACCAUCACUAACUACAUUUACAUGUAAUGUGGCCUCCUCUUCUGCUGCCCCACGGCAGAGGAGGAAAUUUGAUGCAGAGUACCAGGCCUGUCGGAAGCAGCAGGAUGAGUAUCACCAACUCCUUCUUCAACAUACCAGAGAGGAGCACGACCAACAGAUGAAACUGUACCAGUUUCACAGGGAGGUGUUGCAGCGGCAGCUAGAUGUCUUCACGGAGACUUGGCAUCAUAUCCGUGAGGCAGCAGACACCUGCAAAGCCAAAUUUUUGGACAGUUUGGGGAAUGCCGGAGAGUAACAUCCAUGAUGGGAUUGCCUGCCUCAUCAACUGCAUGCCCAUCUUGUAUUGUAAGAGUGUCAAGGACACACUCGCCCAUACUGAGUUCUCCAGAAAUCAUGGAGGCAACGGCCUCGUGUUCUUCGGAAAGCUUGGGAGGUGAUUGAGGAGGGCCACCACCAGUCUUCUUCACCGUUAGCAUACAUUGAACUCCAUCUGCCACUUCCCUGCCCAUUCACGCAAUCUGUCUAGUUCAUCCUGGAGAAUACUAGCGACCCGAUCCGACUCAAUUACUCUGCCAAUCUCUGUAUCAUCAGCAUUUUAGCAUAUAUUGCCAACAUUAACUAGUGUUAGUAGUAGUAGUUGUAGUAGGAAAUACAUUAUA